rfam:Triticum aestivum genome assembly, contig: Triticum_aestivum_CS42_TGACv1_scaffold_624688_7DS
UACAUACUCCCUCCGUCCGGAAAUACUUGUCAUCAAAAUGAAUAAAAGGGAUGUAUCUAGAUGUAUUUUAGUUCUAGAUACAUCAUUUUUUGCCCAUUUUGAUGACAGGUAUUUUCGAAUGGAAGUAGUACAUA